UCUGGUGAUGAUGGCAAAGAGGUCACACCCGUUCCCAUCCCGAACACGGAAGUUAAGCUCUUUAGCGCCGAUGGUAGUCGGGGGCUUCCCCCUGCAAGAGUAGGACGUUGCCGGGC
rnacentral:rRNA from 1 species